CCUACGGGAGGCAGCAGUGAGGAAUAUUGGUCAAUGGGCGAGAGCCUGAACCAGCCAAGUCGCGUGAGGGAAGACGGUCCUAUGGGUUGUAAACCUCUUUUGUCGGGGCGCAAUAGACUCCACGCGUAGAGUUCCGAGAGUACCCGACGAACAAGCAUCGGCUAACUCCGUGCCAGCAGCCGCGGUAAUACGGAGGAUGCGAGCGUUAUCCGGAUUUAUUGGGUUUAAAGGGUGCGCAGGCGGAAGACCAAGUCAGCGGUAAAAUUGAGAGGCUCAACCUCUUCGAGCCGUUGAAACUGGGUUUGUUGAGCGAGCGAGAAGUAUGCGGAAUGCGGGGGGUAGCGGGGAACUGCAUAGAUAUCACGCAGAACUCCGAGUGCGAAGGCAGCAUACCGGCGCUCAACUGACGCUCAUGCACGAAAGUGUGGGUAGCGAACAGGAUGAGAGACCCUGGUAGUC
rnacentral:rRNA from 1 species